UGAGGAAUAUUGGUCAAUGGGCGAGAGCCUGAACCAGCCAAGUAGCGUGCAGGAAGACGGCCCUAUGGGUUGUAAACUGCUUUUAUGUGGGGAUAAAGUGCGUGACGUGUCAUGCAUUGCCGGUACCACAUGAAUAAGGACCGGCUAAUUCCGUGCCAGCAGCCGCGGUAAUACGGAAGGUCCAGGCGUUAUCCGGAUUUAUUGGGUUUAAAGGGAGCGUAGGCUGUUUGUUAAGCGUGUUGUGAAAUGUAAGAGCUCAACUUUUAGAUGGCAGCGCGAACUGGCAGACUUGAGUGCGCACAACGUAGGCGGAAUUCAUGGUGUAGCGGUGAAAUGCUUAGAUAUCAUGACGAACUCCGAUUGCGAAGGCAGCUUACGGUAGCGGAACUGGCGCUAAAGCUCGAAGGUGCGGGUAUCGAACAGG
rnacentral:rRNA from 1 species